AAAACGUUGAUUUGCAAGAAUGCAUUUGGCAUCUGACCGCCCAGAUUCCACUACACGAACCCAGCAAACCCAAACCACUUCCCAUCUACAAAAGGACGAAAUUUGACACUACCCACCCACUAUUUAUUAUCACCACCGCCGUUCCACUAGUGCUUCCUUAGCUUGCUUUCUUGCUUGAACCAACUUUUCUUCGUUUCCUAAGGGUUCUUACAGUUGCAAUUAUAGAUUAUUUCUGUUAAAUUGUGAUUUAAAAGACUAUUUGGGGAUUUGGUUUUGGAGAAAUGACUUUGCACGGGAGUGUUUCUGCAUUGAAUUUAAAUUGGCACACUGGUAUCUUAGAUGGUAGAAAAUUGCAAUCUUCACUGGGAUAUGGUUAUCCUAACUGUUCUAAGCAAACCAAUGCAUUAGCUUUUAGAGUAAGUGAAUCGAUGGGCCAUGCUUUGAGAAUACCGCUUGGAAAUGCUACUAAGACAAGAAUGAGGACUGCUGGCUGCCCUUUGCAGGUAGUUUGUGUGGACUAUCCUAGACCAGACCUUGAUAAUACGGUGAAUUUCUUGGAAGCUGCAUAUUUAUCAUCGUCCUUUCGUAAUUCUCCACGUCCAGCUAAACCAUUGAAAAUUGUGGUUGCUGGGGCAGGAUUGGCUGGUUUAUCAACUGCAAAAUAUUUGGCAGAUGCUGGCCAUAAGCCUGUACUACUUGAAGCAAGAGAAGUUUUGGGCGGAAAGGUGGCUGCAUGGAAAGAUGAUGAUGGGGACUGGUAUGAGACUGGCCUGCAUAUAUUCUUUGGAGCAUACCCAAAUAUUCAGAACCUGUUUGGAGAACUUGGUAUCAAUGAUAGGUUGCAGUGGAAGGAACAUUCUAUGAUAUUUGCGAUGCCAAAUCAUCCAGGAGAGUUCAGCCGAUUUGAUUUUGCAGAAGUUCUUCCUGCACCAUUAAAUGGGAUGUGGGCAAUUCUAAAAAACAAUGAGAUGCUGACUUGGCCUGAGAAAGUGAAGUUUGCGAUUGGACUCCUGCCAGCAAUGGUUGGUGGACAGGCUUAUGUUGAGGCUCAAGAUGGUUUGACUGUUCAAGAUUGGAUGAGAAAGCAGGGAGUUCCUGAUCGAGUCACUAAAGAGGUGUUUAUUGCCAUGUCAAAGGCGCUUAACUUUAUUAACCCUGAUGAACUUUCAAUGCAGUGUAUAUUGAUAGCAUUGAACCGAUUUCUUCAGGAGAAACAUGGUUCAAAGAUGGCUUUCUUAGAUGGGAAUCCCCCAGAGAGACUUUGCAUGCCAAUUGUUGAUCAUAUUCAGUCUCUGGGUGGUGAAGUCCGGCUAAAUUCACGAAUAAAGAAAAUUGAGCUAAAUAAUGAUGGAACAGUUAAAAGCUUUUUACUAAAUACUGGGGAGAUCAUUGAAGGAGAUGCUUAUGUGUUUGCCACUCCAGUUGACAUCCUGAAGCUUCUUUUGCCUGAUAACUGGAAAGAGAUUCCUUACUUCAAGAAAUUGGAGAAAUUAGUUGGUGUUCCUGUUAUUAAUGUUCACAUAUGGUUCGACAGGAAACUAAAGAAUACAUAUGACCACCUACUUUUCAGCAGAAGUCCCCUUCUUAGUGUUUAUGCAGACAUGUCUGUAACAUGUAAGGAAUAUUAUAAUCCAAAUCAGUCUAUGCUGGAGUUAGUUUUUGCACCUGCAGAAGAAUGGAUCUCAUGCAGUGACUCAGAAAUCAUUGAUGCUACAAUCAGGGAACUGGCAAAACUCUUUCCUGAUGAAAUAUCUGCAGAUCAGAGCAAAGCAAAAAUUGUGAAGUAUCAUGUUGUUAAAACUCCAAGGUCUGUUUACAAGACUCUUCCAAAUUGUGAACCUUGCCGCCCCUUACAAAGAUCUCCUAUAGAGGGCUUCUAUUUAGCUGGCGACUACACAAAGCAAAAAUAUUUGGCUUCAAUGGAGGGAGCUGUCCUAUCUGGGAAGCUUUGUGCACAGGCUAUUGUACAGGUACUUGCUACUUAAACUUGGUUUAGCCAAGGUGAAAAAUCACACAUACACAUGCACACACAGGAAAAAAAAAAUGAAGAAGAAGAAGGCACAUUUUUUAAGCUACCAACAGCAAGCGAAAGCUACUUCGGUAACAUAAUAGGCACUUUCUAACCACAUAAAAAUGGCACAUAAUUUUUGCUGGCAAUAACAUUUUAAGAUAUUAGAGUCAUAAGACAUAACAAUGCAUAUCUGUUGAGUUUAAUGUUGUCAUUUAUUCCUGCAUUCAUUCGCAGGGUCCCAUGCCUCCAACAAACGAGGCUUAUCAUUUAUAGCUAGCUAAUAUAAAAAGCAAUGGCAAUGCCUCACAAUUAAAGGAUAGUCCCUUGCACAAGGAAUUUUCAGGGAUUUGAGUUAGCUUGUUAUUUCUGCAACCAAAGAUGCAAAAUUUAGAAUCUAUUAAAACAAAGUAUGAGAGGAGAAAUCCUGAAACACUUAUCUUGCUGCAAGUAAAACUUGCAACUCGUGUAAAUAGGGACCCAUACCAAGCUACCCAGCAGAAAAGAAGAGAUCAUUAACAAUGAAAAGUAAGAGUGUAAGAUCAAGAACUUGAUGAGAAAGUUCAUGUUAAAAAGAAAGGCAAAGAAGGAAAUAAAUAAAUGCACAGGGCUUUAUAAUCUUAAUUCACAUUUCCUUCAGUCAAUAUGACUGAAUUAAGCUAAAAGUUUCACCAUGAAUCUAUCCAAAGUAACUUAGUAAACCACUUUCAAUAUAAUUAAGAUGCAUAGCUAUUACAUAGGAAUGAAGGAUUACAUGGGUAAGAGAAAGAAUGAAGGAUGGUAACAAAAAUUAACAAUGAUUAGCGUCAUGCUUACAGAGCAUUGUGAAAUGAAAAGCAAGUUUGAAUUACUCAUCCAGUUAAAUUGACAUCAGAUAAGAGAAUUCCGAACUUGACCAUGUAACAUUUACCUCAUUCAAAUGAAUUUUAAGUGCAAGCAUGAGAUGUCGACAAAGUAACAGAUACUGGGUCACCAAACAGAAUCUCAAUGACAUGACAUCCGCAUAAACAUGAUAAAAAAGAAAAAAAAUGCCAGCAUUAUCUGUAAACCAAAACCAAGUUCUCUAAGCAUUCUAUUUGAAUUCCAUGAAUUGCAUUCAACAUUUGAGCAAAAUAACAAAUGCC
rnacentral:misc_RNA from 1 species